ensembl:lncRNA
UUGUCAGUCCGUACAUUGAUGUCCUGCUGGUGUCUACCCCGUGUCCUGCUGGUGUCUACCCCGUGUCCUGCUGGUGUCUACCCCGUGUCCUGCUGGUGUCUACCCCGUGUCCUGCUGGUGUCUACCCCGUGUCCUGCUGAUGUCUACCCCGUGUCCUGCUGGUGUCUACCCCGUCUCCUUCUCAGAUUGAUAGGACUGACCAAGAAUGGACCCAGCACUUCUUAAAGACGAUGAUUUUUAUAUUCUUUAUGUUUCGCUAAUAUGUUGUCAUGGGCAAUGGAAGGAGGCCAUCAGUAAGAGGGACCAACAGGCCCACAGGAAGAUGGCAGCGUAUCCUUGGUUGAGGAACCUUCUGGGAUCAAAUCAACUCUCGCUCCCGUUGGAGGACCGUUGCAGACUCCCGCUGCAGACUCCCGCUGCAGACUCCCGCUGCCGGGCCGCUGCAGACUCCAGCUGCCGGGCCACUGCAGACCCCAGCUGUACUCCAGCUGCCCCUCGAGGCCCCAGGCUCUGUGCUCCCUUUGCCCCUCGAGGCCCUAGGCCCUGUGCUCCCUUUGUCCCCCGAGGCCCCAGCUCUCCAUUUGUCCCUCGAAACCCCAGCCCCUGUGCUCCCUCUGUCUUUCGAGACCCCAGCCCCUGUGCUACCUAUGUCCCUUCGCCUCCCCAGACCCCGGAGGUCCCUUCGCCUCCCCAGACCCCGGAGGUCCCUUCGCCUCCCCAGACCCCGGAGGUCCCUUCGCCUCCCCAGAACCCGGAGGUCCCUUCCCCUCUCCUCUCGAGGUCCCUUCCCCUAGUCCGCCCGCCUCCAGUCCGUCUUCUCUGCUGGCUUCCAGCCCGGUCUCCUGAGCGGCUCCGCCGGCCUCCCGCCUGCUCUGAUUCCUACAGUCAGUGGAUUCCAGGCCCUCGCAGGCAUGACUUCAUAGCAAUAGGAGCAAAGAGCAUUUAGCAAUGUGCAGUUAGCAACGAGCUAACUCUACUCUGACAAGAUGACCAAUGGAGCGACUGGCUUCCUCCGCCUUGCAACGGGCAUAACGCUGCAACUUUCCACAGCCCGGCUUCUCCCUUUCAACAAAUUCGCUAACAUGCUAAGUAACUCGCUGCAUUUAUGGACUGAAUUUCACUGGACAUAGUAUUUAGCAUACAGUAACUUUACAUGGCUAAGUAAGCAAAUAACUGCUAUUCUUUUGUAAAUGUUUAUACAUGUAUUGAUUUAGUUGUUGUUCACUGAGCUGUAUUGUGUGAUCUGUUGGUAUGACCUAAUGGAUAACUUUAGUUGGCUUAACCGUAUCGCCACGUUGUGUUAGUGUUGUAGAACAAGACAGAGUCCAUGCACACAGACCAUCUUUUUAACCCAGCGCCAUACACGUUACCAUCUCACAUAAUUUGUGAAUUGGACUUCAAACACUUCUCCGCACGUGCUCUUCAUUCAUGCAUGGGCGCACACACUCCCUCUCUAUUACACACAUACCCACACAUACAUAACCAAACAUCCUCAUUUUCCUGUAGUUUUAUUUAGUUGAAUUAGAUAGUGUUUACUUUUUUUAUUUUUUAUUUUGGAACAUAAGUUUAAUGUUGUACAAUAAUGAUUUCUGCCAACCUCUACUAUCAAAUAAUUCCAAAAUCUCAAGCUUUACCAGCUAUUGAUUGGUAAUUUUGUUUAAAUAUUUUAAUUUAAUUAUUUAUCCGAUAAUUCAUAGUCUAGUAUAUUUAUAAAACUUGAGACUGCACUGGCUAUCAAUUUCUAUUGACAUGGUGUGUCCCCUUGAGGUUAUUUAAUAUAAUUGAAAUCACACUAAUUAAUAUAAUUAAUAUUUAAUUUAAAUUAUUUACGAAUUGCUUCUGAUAUCCUUUUUUAUAUAUUUUGAGCAACUGUACAUACAUCAUUGUUGUGCCACUUUAUUAUCAACCACUGCUUAUGAUUUUAUGAAUAUUAAUGGUAUUAUUGAUGUCGAUUGUAAUUAAUAUUUGUUAAUAACCAGACUUGUUCGUACCAAAUCCCAACACCACCGUGAGAACAAAAUAUAUAUUAAGAUUUUUUGUUACUGUGGGGACAGAGUUAAUUCCAUAAAGUGUCCUUAUGACUUUAUCUUAUUUUGCGAAGUCCACAUAAAUUAUGGAUCAAUCUGUGACCACUUGUGAAUAAACAUCAGAUGGUAGAUGUA